CGGGCGGUAGCUCAGCUUGGUAGAGCUUCCGGCUGUAGGCAGAAACCGGAGUGUCGCAGGUUCAAAUCCUGCCCGCCCGA
rnacentral:tRNA from 1 species